GAUUUCUUGUUUAGAGAAAACAAGUUGUGCGUGCUGAAUUGCUCCAUGAGAGAAUUGUUUGUUAGAGAAUCACAUAAAGGUGAUUUAAUGGGUCAUUUUGAGGUAGCUAAGACUUUAGAUAUCUUGAAAGAACAUUUCUUUUGGCCACACAUGAGGAGAGAUAUAGAAAAAAUAUAUUCUAGAUGCAUAACUUGUAAGAAGGCUAAGUCUAAAGUUUUGC
rnacentral:misc_RNA from 1 species